rnacentral:rRNA from 1 species
GAUGAACGCUGGCGGCGUGCCUAAUACAUGCAAGUCGAGCGAACAGACGAGAAGCUUGCUCCUCUGACGUUAGCGGCGGACGGGUGAGUAACACGUGGAUAACCUACCUAUAAGACUGGGAUAACUUCGGGAAACCGGAGCUAAUACCGGAUAAUAUAUUGAACCGCAUGGUUCAAGAGUGAAAGACGGUUUUGCUGUCACUUAUAGAUGGAUCCGCGCCGCAUUAGCUAGUUGGUAAGGUAACGGCUUACCAAGGCGACGAUGCGUAGCCGAUCUGAGAGGGUGAUCGGCCACACUGGAACUGAGACACGGUCCAGACUCCUACGGGAGGCAGCAGUAGGGAAUCUUCCGCAAUGGGCGAAAGCCUGACGGAGCCACGCCGCGUGAGUGAUGAAGGUCUUCGGAUCGUAAAACUCUGUUAUUAGGGAAGAACAAAUGUGUAAGUAACUCUGCCCGUCUUGACGGUACCUAAUCAGAAAGCCCCGGCUAACUUCGUG